AAGGCCGCACACAGAAGCAAAGGAAAACCAAAAGAUUUAUUCUCCACUUCCCAUCAGCAGGCAGUGUCCAGCCAUUUCCCAGGACGUAGGGCUUCAGUACAUGUAGUGGUCGUUCUGGAAGACAAAUGUAAAAAAUGCAUGC